rnacentral:rRNA from 1 species
AUGUGCAUCCCGACGCCUCUCUUCUCCAUUGAUCCCCCAUCUCCUCAAGGUGAAUCUUCUCCACAGGGUACCCAUCUCCUCUCCAAUGAUCCACCAUCUCCUCUGCUGUUUUUUAUCCCUCGAUUGGUAACCCAAGAACUUGACGGCUCUGGACUGAGAUGUAGACUUCCCGGUGGAACUACCUGUGCGCAGGAGGAUCUGACGACGCCGAACGCAGCCAUGGAGCACCAGGAGCACGCGGAGACGAUGUGGGAGUGGGCGGUCUCCGAGGUUGCUAUUACGGGAUUACCUGAUGUUGCUUCAUGUCUGUUAUAUCUUUCAAUAUUUACAGAAACUUCCAAAACUAACACCAGUUAUUGGUGGUUUACACCGAUAGUUUCCAGACCUUUAUCGCAAGAUGGACGAACUUGGCAUCUCAGCCAGUACUCUACCUCAUCAACAGUUUGA